GUGGGCCAAGGCCCUUCUGACACAGUUCACAUCUUAUACUGGAAGGCCAAGGCUUCUUCUGGGAUAUUUUACCCAGUGGCAGUAAAAUUAACACGAAUGUCUCUGGGGAGAAAACUGAUGUCCUAAAGACUUGAAGUCAGGUAGGGGACUGUGGGCGGUUUUUACACAGAAAAAAAUAACAUUUUCAACCAUUUUCACUAACUGUACCCAAGUUUAGAGUCCCCCAUAACACAAUGACAAUUAUUUAGAGUUUUUAUUGUUUAAAAUGCCUUCCCCUUUGAGCUAUAGGCGAAUAAAGUAAACCCCAAGGUAAGUUUCUAAAGCCUGGAGCUUUCUUCAAUAUGGCAAAAAUAGAGACACCCAAGAGACAGGAAAAGUGCACCAAGACUCAUGGAAAGUCACUUAUAGAGAAACACAGCAAAAAAUAUGAACCAUUUCACUUGUACUCUUUGUGAUACUAAAAAUUUCUGAUGGGGCCUUCGAUUUAAAAUAAAUAACAGAAACUCAAAUUUAUGAGAAGAAAGAGGUUCAAUGUGACCCAACCAACCAGUAUUCACUGGGCUUCCUGCUUCUUGUGCUUAGGACCUCGUUCAAUGCUGCAGGCAACAAUGCAAAGGACAUUUAGUAAGUCACCCGGGGAUGAGGAGAGAACCAUUCAGGCUAACCAAGAGCCAGGGAUAAAAUUAAAAUCAGCUGGCAGAUCACAAUCUACUUUUCCAAAUGUUCACGUUUCCAUCAAUUCAAGCUUCAAAAGUAGCCAAAAAGUAGCCACCGCUCUGAGUCUUCCGGAGGUUCCAAGGUCUAUUAAAUAUCUCAGUCUCCUAAGGAAGCAUGACUCCCAGUCUCACCCAGGAAGCUUCGCAGAUACUUAGAAUAAUGAAAUUCCAAAGGAUAAAAACAUACGGAUCAGAGAAGUGGCCAGAGACUUGGCAUCCUACAAGGUGGAAAAACUGGCACUGAGACACCGAGCAAAUUAUUCUUUAAGAUCAAAGUAUAAUGCAAAUUAUCCCUGAAGAUUUUCAAUGAAUUAUAUACCAAAUGAUCCAUUAAUAAAAAUGCAAUUUUGAACUAUCUUUUGAAUGAC
rnacentral:lncRNA from 1 species